GGUCAAUGAUGACUAGUAAAAGGUCUGAGUGCACAAAAGAAUCGCACUCCUAUUACCCUUUCAGCUCCCAACAGUCUCUUUGUCCCAUCACACUAUAGCAGUGCUGUGAUUGCGGGAGAGUCUGCUGACAAUGUAGGAUAAGUUCAGUGCCUGUUAUCCGCAGUAUAAGGAAGCAUGGCCCUGAAUGUCAUCCAACAGAACCAAUUAAGGAGUUUAGGGUGUUGGGGUGUCUUGAUUUGUGGUGUGUGUGAUCUCAAGUUUUCAAGCUGAGACC
rnacentral:snoRNA from 1 species